rnacentral:misc_RNA from 1 species
AGCAGCCGCGGUAAUUCCAGCUCCAAUAGCGUAUAUUAAAGUUGCUGCAGUUAAAAGGCUCGUAGUUGAAUUUCGGGACCAUCAUGUCGGUCGUGCCUCGGUACGUACUGGCAUUGUUGGUUUCUACCUUCUGACGAACCAUGAUGUCAUUUAUUUGGUGUCGUGGGAAGUCAGGACUGUUACUUUGAAAAAAUUGAGUGUUUAAAGCAGGCUCACGCUUGAAUACAUUAGCAUGGAAUAAUGAAAUAGGACGUUUGAUUCUACUUUGUUGGUUUCUAGGAUCGACGUAAUGAUUAAUAGGGAUAGUUGGGGGCAUUAGUAUUCAAUUGUCAGAGGUGAAAUUCUUGGAUUUAUUGAAGACUAACUACUGCGAAAGCAUUUGCCAAGGAUGUUUUCAUUAAUCAAGAACGAAAGUUAGGGAUCGAAGACGAUCAGAUACCGUCGUAGUCUUAACCAUAAACUAUGCCGACUAGGGAUCGGAUGAUGUUAAUUUUUAAUGACU